AUUGAAUCUUCAAUCAUCAUUUACUGAAUCAAUAAUAGUAUGUUCAAUAUUAAUAUGGACUAUCUCAACUUAAAUUGAUAUUUGUUAUUGUCUACAACUACACUACUACCAACGUCAAAUUUGGUGUAUUAUAUUAUUGUAGUCAAUCAGUCUAAUACAAUUCCAUCAAUACAUUGUCGAAUGUUGUGGUAUUCAAUUUUCAGUAAAUUUAUAGGUGUUUUAUUUUAAGUUACUGUGGCACACUAUUGCAGAUAACGGUUUUCCAUUAAGUCAGUAAGAAGAAUAAGAUGGAUUCACAAGUUCAAAUCAAAUAUUAGACAACAAUAUAUAUUUAGUUAUUCAG